UACGUAGGGUGCAAGCGUUAAUCGGAAUUACUGGGCGUAAAGCGUGCGCAGGCGGUUUUGUAAGUCUGUCGUGAAAUCCCCGGGCUCAACCUGGGAAUUGCGAUGGAGACUGCAAGGCUAGAAUCUGGCAGAGGGGGGUAGAAGUCCACGUGUAGCAGUGAAAUGCGUAGAGAUGUGGAGGAACACCGAUGGCGAAGGCAGCCCCCUGGGUCAAGAUUGACGCUCAUGCACGAAAGCGUGGGGAGCAAACAGG
rnacentral:rRNA from 1 species